AACUGGCACUGGACAAAGACAGACACCUUAUUGGUGACAGUCUUCUUGUAUCAGUCAGAGGCAAAACAAAUGGCAGUCCUUUAGUCAUCCUAGCUUGAUGCCUGGCUUGGUGGCCAAAGCUGAUUUAUACCUGGGCCACAUAA